CCCCUAGACGUUCUGGGCUGCACGCGCGCUACAAUAAUACGCACAGCGAGUAUCACCGAGCUCGAAAGGGCAAGGUAAACAAUAGAAAAGGUACUGUAAUGGUUAUAGAUCCUUGUAAUUAUUGAUCUUCAACGAGGAAUUCCUAGUAAGUAUGUGUCAUCAUCACGCACUGAUUACGUCCCUGCCCUUUGUACACACCGCCCGUCGCUCCUACCGAUUGAGCGGUCCGGUGAAGACUCAGGAGAUGGGCGCGUGCUUGGUUCGCCAACUGCGCUGCCUGCCAAAUUUGUCUAAACCUUAUCGCUUAGAGGAAGGAGAAGUCGUAACA
rnacentral:rRNA from 1 species